rnacentral:lncRNA from 1 species
GGGGUAAGUAAGAAGGAAUAUAUUCAUCUCUAUUAGGAAACAAUUUCAGUUCAAUUCAAUUUUAUUCUUAUUUCUUCUAAUAGGAUAAUGGAACUAAAUGACUAGACAGAAUUCAGCCAUGGAACAACACACAUUACAAGGAUACAAAAGGCUGGAUCCAAAGGCUGAAUCCAUCCUGUGGCUGAGGAGAAAUAUGUAAUAAACAAAUACUCUAAGUUUAUUAUUACUUAAUGGAAUAAAAAUUUACUACCUUAUGUGUGUUAAAACUUUUCUAUUGUCAUGUAGAAAGAGAUGGUAGACAUACAAACAACACAAUAGGCACAUGUUGUGGGAGAGGAGACUGAGAGCCAA